rnacentral:rRNA from 1 species
CCUACGGGUGGCAGCAGUGGGGAAUAUUGCACAAUGGACGCAAGCCUGAUGCAGCCAUGCCGCGUGUGUGAAGAAGGCCUUCGGGUUGUAAAGCACUUUCAGCGGGGAGGAAGGCGGUGAGGUUAAUAACCUCAUCGAUUGACGCUACCCGCAGAAGAAGCACCGGCUAACUCCGUGCCAGCAGCCGCGGUAAUACGGAGGGUGCAAGCGUUAAUCGGAAUUACUGGGCGUAAAGCGCACGCAGGCGGUCUGUCAAGUCGGAUGCGAAAUCCCCGGGCUCAACCUGGGAACUGCAUUCGAAGCUGGCAGGCUAGAGUCUUGUAGAGGGGGGUAGAAUUCCAGGUGUAGCGGUGAAAUGCGUAGAGAUCUGGAGGAAUACCGGUGGCGAAGGCGGCCCCCUGGACAAAGACUGACGCUCAGGUGCGAAAGCGUGGGGAGCAAACAGGAUUAGAUACCCUAUAGUC